rnacentral:rRNA from 1 species
GCUUAACACAUGCAAGUCGAGGGGCAGCACAGGUAGCAAUACCGGGUGGCGACCGGCGCACGGGUGAGUAACGCGUAUGCAACUUGCCUAUCAGAGGGGGAUAACCCGGCGAAAGUCGGACUAAUACCGCAUGAAGCAGGGAUCCCGCAUGGGAAUAUUUGCUAAAGAUUCAUCGCUGAUAGAUAGGCAUGCGUUCCAUUAGGCAGUUGGCGGGGUAACGGCCCACCAAACCGACGAUGGAUAGGGGUUCUGAGAGGAAGGUCCCCCACAUUGGUACUGAGACACGGACCAAACUCCUACGGGAGGCAGCAGUGAGGAAUAUUGGUCAAUGGCCGAGAGGCUGAACCAGCCAAGUCGCGUGAGGGAUGAAGGUUCUAUGGAUCGUAAACCUCUUUUAUAAGGGAAUAAAGUGCGGGACGUGUCCCGUUUUGUAUGUACCUUAUGAAUAAGGAUCGGCUAACUCCGUGCCAGCAGCCGCGGUAAUACGGAGGAUCCGAGCGUUAUCCGGAUUUAUUGGGUUUAAAGGGUGCGUAGGCGGCCUUUUAAGUCAGCGGUGAAAGUCUGUGGCUCAACCAUAGAAUUGCCGUUGAAACUGGGGGGCUUGAGUAUGUUUGAGGCAGGCGGAAUGCGUGGUGUAGCGGUGAAAUGCAUAGAUAUCACGCAGAACCCCGAUUGCGAAGGCAGCCUGCCAAGCCAUUACUGACGCUGAUGCACGAAAGCGUGGGGAUCAAACAGGAUUAGAUACCCUGGUAGUCCACGCAGUAAACGAUGAUCACUAGCUGUUUGCGAUACACUGUAAGCGGCACAGCGAAAGCGUUAAGUGAUCCACCUGGGGAGUACGCCGGCAACGGUGAAACUCAAAGGAAUUGACGGGGGCCCGCACAAGCGGAGGAACAUGUGGUUUAAUUCGAUGAUACGCGAGGAACCUUACCCGGGUUUGAACGCAUUCGGACCGAGGUGGAAACACCUUUUCUAGCAAUAGCCGUUUGCGAGGUGCUGCAUGGUUGUCGUCAGCUCGUGCCGUGAGGUGUCGGCUUAAGUGCCAUAACGAGCGCAACCCUUGCCACUAGUUACUAACAGGUAAAGCUGAGGACUCUGGUGGGACUGCCAGCGUAAGCUGCGAGGAAGGCGGGGAUGACGUCAAAUCAGCACGGCCCUUACAUCCGGGGCGACACACGUGUUACAAUGGCGUGGACAAAGGGAGGCCACCUGGCGACAGGGAGCGAAUCCCCAAACCACGUCUCAGUUCGGAUCGGAGUCUGCAACCCGACUCCGUGAAGCUGGAUUCGCUAGUAAUCGCGCAUCAGCCAUGGCGCGGUGAAUACGUUCCCGGGCCUUGUACACACCGCCCGUCAAGCCAUGGGAGCCGGGGGUACCUGAAGUCCGUAACCGCGAGGAUCGGCCUAGGGUAAAACUGGUGACUGGGGCUAAA